CCUGUACAGCAAACACCACUACGAUGAAUUUGCCUGUGCAAAUAAUGAAUUUAGGCAUCCCCAAGGUUUGAUUUGUUACUUUACGAGAAACGCACGUAACACGAAAACAAUUUCCCCACUCAGCCACCACGGAGCAGUGAUCCGCAUGGGAUGCGCCGGCCGACAUCGCCGCAAAAGCCGUGAGGCUGUGCCCUGAAUGCGGCUCCUGUGAUACCCCGGAUGCCACUAUCACCUUCGUCGAAGCUAACCGUCCUGCCGCUUCUGGCGGCAAUCACCAACUUCGUCUGAAAACCUGGUUUCAUCGGAAAACUACUUAAGCCAACGGACAUCGCGGGAUCCUCUGCAGUCGGCAGCGAUUAAGUUGCCCAACGCUGAUACUUUGUAUUUCAACAGGCGGUGCCCUGAAUGCGGUUCCCGUGAUACCCCGGAUGCCACUAUCACCUUCGUCGAAGCUAACCGUCCUGCCGCUUCUGGCGGCAAUCACCAACUUCGUCUGAAAACCUGGUUUCAUCGGAAAACUACUUAAGCCAACGGACAUCGCGGGAUGCUCUGCAGUCGGCAGCGAUUAAGUUGCCCAACGCUGAUACUUUGUAGUUCAACAGAUCCCCUGCCCCGCUGAAGGUUUUUCCCGCUGGAUUGGCAGAGGUGCGCUCAUCGACGCCUACCGACACUGCUCAACUGAUUUCAUCACCCUGAUCCGGCUCUUCUGGCAGCGCUGACCUGGCGUUUCAGCAUAAAGCGGCCACUCAACCCAGACCGCUUCUCAGCCGUCAGCGAUACACUGGCAUGUUAAACUGAUCGCCUGUACUUCCACAGGUCCUCUGCGGCGGCUAAUUUAUGGGGAGAAUUCUCUGCACUACCACCGAAAGAAAAAUGAUACAAACAGAUACUCGCUUUGGGCGAACGGUAUAUUCGCUAUAUUUUGUCUAUGUCGAGGUCAUAAGAGGCAAGCCAUCGUAAAGAACGCUACACCCUAUUUCAGAAUAUAUCCUUCGUUCUCGGUCAACGUAGCCUUGAAGGCAUGUUCUUUUUAACCUUGGUAUCUUAUUCAGUGUCUUGCUUUCAGAAAUGUAUGCAGGCUAUCGUAUCUUCAAGCGAGCCAUUGCAUAUCAGGAGCAAAAACUCCAUAGCGGGAAACGGCGUCUUGCUGUCAAAAGAGAAACAAAAAAAAAUGAGAAAGAAUAUAGAGGGCAGAAAUUCCAAUAAACGACUACCUUGACGCUUUUGUUCAGUCACUGGGCAAGCGGAAUAAGCUGGUGAACUCGUUCAGCGCGCAGACGUCAGCUGAGUGCUUCUAAAGGACAUUGGGUGGCAGUCUUUCGGUGUUUAUA